rnacentral:rRNA from 1 species
CCCUGCCAUUUGUACACACCGCCCGUCGCACCUACCGAUUGAAUGGUCCGGUGAAAUUUUCGGACCGCGGCGCGCUCUCCUUCGCUGGCGAGCGCGCUGCGGGAAGUUACUUAAACCUUACCAUUUAG